rnacentral:sRNA from 1 species
CCUUGUUGUGAGCCCCGGCCCGGCAGUGUCCGGACUCGUAGCCCCGCUUUUCUUAUCCGGGCCGCUAGCCUGAGUCUAGGUCGCAGCCGCAGCUCCACCCCGUCGGUCACCUUUUCAGCGCAGGUCCUUUCCCCGCACGCCCUGCGCUCCCUAACAUGCCCAACCCCAGCAGCACCUCCUCUCCCUACCCCCUCCCUGAGGAAAUUAGGAACCUGUUGGCAGAUGUUGAAACAUUUGUAGCAGACAUACUGAAAGGAGAAAAUUUAUCCAAGAAAGCAAAGGAAAAGAGAGAAUCCCUUAUUAAGAAGAUAAAAGAUGUAAAGUCUAUCUAUCUUCAGGAAUUUCGAGACAAAGAAAAAUAUUCUGCUGUAGUAUGAUUAAACCUUGAGUUUGUUGUAAUGUUUGUUACUACUGAAAUUAUAGGAAGGUGAUGCAGAAGAUGGGGAAGAAUAUGAUGACCCUUUUGCUGGGCCUCCAGACACUAUUUCAUUGGCCUCAGAACGAUAUGAUAAAGACGAUGAAGCCACCUCUGAUG